GCCCCUGCCCGGGCGCUGGAGGCGGGAAGCAUAGAUCUGGGAUUCCAAGGCGGGGGUGUGUCCCGCCGGUGAUUGAGGGUUCGCGGGGACAGGAGUUGAGGGGCAGGGAGGAAAGGGUUUCCGGGUAGAAUGCGGGCGCGGUACGUUCUUAGGAGCAAAGUCGGGGAACACUAGCAGGCCUGAAUCCCUGCGUGUUCAAGGGGAUCGCGUGGAUUUCUGUGCACAGAAACCACGCCCCACCCGACUAUUUCUCACAUGCGCUGCGCCACACUCCUGCAGCUGCAUUCGACUCUAGUAAAUUCAAAGCGAGGACUUCGAACAGCUGGCUCGUUGGUCUAGGGGUAUGAUUCUCGGUUUGGGUCCGAGAGGUCCCGGGUUCAAAUCCCGGACGAGCCCCUCUUUUCUUUUAACUGCUUGGCACGCGUAACUUGGCGUUCUACAGUCCUAAUGAACGCGAAAUGGCAUCUGGCACAAUUCGAAGAGGUCGGAUCGACGAUUGAAAAUGAGCGAGCGGUUUUGCCCACUGGUUGCUCUCUAAAAAAUUCUUCCAGUUCGGCAGCCCCGCACGGGGGCAAGGGGUGACACACAGAGAGAGAAGGGCCCACGGAUUCCCAAGGUGCCCUGGAUCCAGGGAUGCAAAGAGAAGAGGGUUCAAAGAAGAUGUGAAGGGGACGAGCCACAACCCUCGGUGCUGAGAGAGGAGAGAGCGAGCCAUGAAGGAUCACUAGUCCAACAUCCUUUCUUUUCUGUGCGCCCACUCACCUGCUCACUCACUGGAUCACGUGUGCAACUAGCUGGCCCCCGCAUACCAGGAGCCAUACUCAGGCCCACCAGAGCAGUGGGUCUCUGAGUGUGGGCCCCACACCAGCAGCAUCAGCGUGACCUGGAUCAUGCUAGAAAUGCACAUUCUCAGGCCCCAACCCAGACUUACUGCUCCAGAAACUCUGGGGUGGGCCCAGCCCUCAGGGUUUUAACAAACUCUCCAGAUGACUGUGCACACUCAGUUGGAGAAUCACUGUGCUGCAUGACUUCAGUUUCCACAUUGCUGCUUUGGGGAAAAUAACACGUGUCUCACAAGGUUGAGCCCAGUAUUAGCUAACACAUGUGCUAGAUGCGCCACCUGUGCCAGGUAUCCUUCUAAUCCCUUUAUAACACACCUAACUCCUCACCAACUCUGAGAUAGGAACUAAUAUUAUCUUCAUUUAUUUCCUGAGAUGAGGAAAUGCAGGCACAGAGAGGCACAGUAACUUGGCCAGGGUCACACAGCUAGUAGGCAACAGAGCUUUGGAAUCUAUGGUUUUUAAAACUCCCCGACAAAAAGCCUCCAGCGGUGAGUCUGGCUCCCAGAAUGUGUUCUGGGCAUGGUUGAGAAUGUGAUGAUGGCAGUUAGCAUUACCUCACCUGAACUUGCGAUGAUGAUCCCUGUUUUGUAGAUGUGAAAUCUGCUGCCUUGUCAAGAUCAGGGAGUGAGUCAGCUGCAGAAGCAGCCUGAGUGUCUGAAACCCAUGUGGCCACAGGCCCUCACCAUUCACAAAGCUUGGAGAUCACAAUAUACCAUUCUGGUCUUCUAGAAACAUCCCAGCGUGUUGCAGGUGGAGUGUGGGCUCUGACAGACGUGGGCUGGAACCCUGGUUUUGGCCACUCAGGGGCUGUGUAACCUUGAGCAAAUCAUCUCCCCUCUCUGAGCCUCCGUUUCCUCCUGUCAAGGGCUUGGUGACAGUUCUCACUUUGUGGGGUUCCUGUGAGGGUUGGAGAAGAUGACGUUUGUGCCCAGCCCAGAGCGUGCAUGAUUGGGUAUCAGAAAGCAGCUUGUCCCUCUCUCUUCCCCCUUCCUGCUGCCACCUUGGUGGAAACAUGGAAACACCAGCUUAGGACCCAGAAAAGUCCUGGGAGAAGAAGAACUAAGUUCCCAAGUGAUGGAAAUGCAUUUGUCCUCCAGUUUGUCUGUCCUUUUCCAGAACUUGAAACAGCUGCCCUAGCUGGGGUUUGGGGGGUUAAACACUGGCACCUGCUGUGCCUAGUGCAAGUCAGGAGUGGGGUAACCUGUGAAGGGAGGGCAGGUGUCCUCUCUGAGCCAUAUCCACUGGCCAGACAUCCUCAAUCAGCCAAAGCAUCUGAGCAUCCGCCUGCUGCAAGACUGAGUCUGGCCCCGGCAUCUGAAGCUCAUUAGCGGCCUGCUCCCCAGGGGCUGACCCUGCUUGGCGAGAAUUCUCCCAGACAGAGCCGCAGAGCAAAGACCAGGUUAACAUCAUGAAUAGGCCGGAUGGCUGUUUCCUGAGCCAGGGAGCCCUGUGAUUCAUUUACCCCUCACAGGACAACAUCACCGGCAUUUCUAAGAAAGGCCCAGAGAGACGGGGGGAUCUCACCAAAUUCACACAGCCUGUCAGAGCUGAGACAAUCCUGGAUGCCCAGACCCUGCCUAA